CACGAACCGGGCAAACGUUAUUCGGAAUUACUGGGCUUAAAGGGUGCGUAGGCUGCGCUAUAAGUCGGGUGUGAAAUCCCUCAGCUCAACUGAGGAAGUGCGCCCGAAACUGCAGAGCUUGAGUACUGGAGAGGGUAGCGGAAUUCCCCAAGUAGAGGUGAAAUUCGUAGAUAUGGGGAGGAACACCGGUGGCGAAGGCGGCUACCUGGACAGAUACUGACGCUGAGACGCGAAAGCACGGGGAGCAAACAGG
rnacentral:rRNA from 1 species